rnacentral:rRNA from 1 species
UACGUAGGGUGCGAGCGUUAAUCGGAAUUACUGGGCGUAAAGCGUGCGCAGGCGGUUCGUUAAGUCAGAUGUGAAAGCCCCGGGCUCAACCUGGGAAUGGCAUUGGAAACUGGCGGGCUUGAGUGUGGCAGAGGGGGGUGGAAUUCCGCGUGUAGCAGUGAAAUGCGUAGAGAUGCGGAGGAACACCGAUGGCGAAGGCAGCCCCCUGGGCUAACACUGACGCUCAGGCACGAAAGCGUGGGGAGCAAACAGG